rnacentral:rRNA from 1 species
UAAUACGAAGGGUGCAAGCGUUAAUCGGAAUUACUGGGCGUAAAGCGUGCGUAGGCGGUUUGUUAAGUCUGAUGUGAAAGCCCCGGGCUCAACCUGGGAAUUGCAUUGGAAACUGGCGAGCUAGAGUGCGGUAGAGGGUGGCGGAAUUCCCGGUGUAGCGGUGAAAUGCGUAGAGAUCGGGAGGAACAUCCGUGGCGAAGGCGGCCACCUGGACCAGCACUGACGCUGAGGCACGAAAGCGUGGGGAGCAAACAGGAUUAGAUACCCUGGUAGUCCACGCCCUAAACGAUGCGAACUGGACGUUGGGCUCAACUUGGAGCUCAGUGUCGAAGCUAACGCGUUAAGUUCGCCGCCUGGGGAGUACGGUCGCAAGACUG